rnacentral:lncRNA from 1 species
CUGAACAUCUACUUAGUGGUUAUAAAAUAUUUGCUGCUGAAAGCCACAGAGCAUUGAUAAACAGAUCCUGGACAGCUGAGUUAUUGCAAUCUACUUAACAUGAGGAGAACAAAUUGUGAGUCAAAUGUUCCUGUUUAAUAACCUUACUCAGGGCAGAGAGAGCUGCUCAAGGUUGGCGUUAACUCUGCAUGCGCUGCGCCAGCCAGGGUCCCAGAAAGGGCUGUGCAGACGUUGAAGCAAUUCAGAUUAUGCUUUACUUUAACACAUGCAGAAAAGGAUGGAUUCAUCUCAUUCAUGGGAAACAGAUGAGGAAUACAUUUUCUGUGAAUGCUAUUUCAAAAAGAUGUUAAUUUUCAUGGAUACUUUCUGGACCAGUCACUUCGCACAGUUCAAAAGAUGCUGUCUUCUCUCUGGGAUAUGCUAUCAAG